rnacentral:lncRNA from 1 species
GUAGAAAUAAUUUCUGAUCCUUCUGAUCCUCGAGGGACGUUAGGGGUGACGUGCUCUUCCGACUCGAGGCCUUUCUUCGGACGUGAUGGAGAGCGGAUUGUAUUUAUUAUUUCUCAAAUCGCACACUCACUUAAUGAGAUAGAAGUUCUCGUGAUCAUGUUCAGAGAAGUUUGCUAGAUUGAUCGCCACCACACCGCCCUCGCUAUUUUUUGUAUAAAAUAAUAAUAAUAAUAAUACC